UUUGCUGUUUGCAUGUUCAAUGGAAUGUGGUCUAACAAAAUGUGACGGCGUUAAUAAGUUAUAUAGUAAGCUUUUACCACAGUAUAACAUCAACUGUAGCCUGAGGGUCGGAGAGUGGGCGAGUUGCAUUCUAUCUGUUAACUCUUAGAGUGAAAAAUUUUAUGUUUCACCUUUAAACUAUUUUGCGCACAUUUCCAUGAUGACUGAGACGCCAUGAAACGCAGACAACGACUUUAAUUGCUCUAUAACCCUAUUUUACUGCAUAUUGGUAUGGGAGUGAUGCUGUACCGGUGUAAUUUCUGAGUCCACUUUAAGAUGUGUUGGAUGAGGAAAUGAUGAUGUAGGACACUAUGAGUUGCUUUCCUUUCCUUCUUCUCUCCAGGUUGUCCAGGUGGACUCAAACUUCACCGAUACUGUAGUAUGCUCCUAUAAAUGUAAAAUUAAUAUUGUGUGAACAAAGGUAAAACUAUCUGGAUGCAACUGUCUCACGAAAUGCGCACAUUUUUAACUAAGGGUGCUGGGUGUGUGUGUGUGUGGGGUGGGGGUGGAGCUUGGCAGUGAAAAGGUUAAGAGCACCAGCUCCUUGCUGACCUCCCCCAGCGUUCCGGUACAUCGUUGGGUCAUGAAGUGGUCGAGAUUAACGAGGAACAAAGAGCUGGUAGAAAGUCUAGAAGGUGGGCAUGAUGUACGUGAGACGGUGAAGAUGAGAGAAGGACCACCUGGAGGAGCUCGCUGUGUUUCCUGUAACCUGAUGACCUUGUGUGAGAGUCAGAGAGCAUCUCCAGCCCGAACUGCUCAGAAGGGGUCCUGGUGUUUUCCCAGAAUUCCCUGAGAGUGAGAGUCUGGAAAAGAUGGGGGCGCAAGAUGAAAGUAACAUCACUGUGGCUGUCAGGGUGAGGCCUCUGAGUGACAAGGAAUGCACCAGGGUAGAGGAUGGAACAAUUUUCUGUCCAGAUCAG